UCCCAGGGGGUCGAAUGGUUAGGACAUAGCACUUUAAUUGCUGUGGCCCGGAUUCAGUUCCUGGUCUGGGAG
rfam:Sus scrofa chromosome 2.